UACGUAGGGUGCAAGCGUUGUCCGGAAUUAUUGGGCGUAAAGAGCUCGUAGGCGGUCUGUCGCGUCGAAUGUGAAAACCCGGGACUCAACUCCGGGCCUGCAUUCGAUACGGGCAGACUAGAGUUCGGUAGGGGAGACUGGAAUUCCUGGUGUAGCGGUGAAAUGCGCAGAUAUCAGGAGGAACACCGGUGGCGAAGGCGGGUCUCUGGGCCGAUACUGACGCUGAGGAGCGAAAGCGUGGGGAGCAAACAGG
rnacentral:rRNA from 1 species